rnacentral:rRNA from 1 species
AGCCGGUUGAUCCUGCCGGCAGUCAUAUGCUCAUGUCAAAGAUUAAGCCAUGCAAAUGUAAGAAUACGGGUUAUCCCGUGAGUCUGCGGACGGCUCAUUAAACCAGACCAAACGUCCCUAAAAACAUCAUAAGGAUACCUGUAGUAAUUCUAGAGUCAAUACUUGAACCAGAGAGCAAUCUCGCGAGGUGACUACCGUCCGUACGGAUGAUCCAGAGCCUUGCCGACCGAGCCUAGUGCUCGGCGAUUUAAAUCGAUUUCUGAUCUAUCAGCUUGAUCCGCCGGAAAACGGCUGGCGGAGGCGACAACGGAUGACGGGGAAUUAGGGUUCGAUUCCGGAGAGGGCGCCUGAGAAAUGGCGACUACUUCUAAGGAAGGCAGCAGGCGCGCAAAUUACCCAAUCUCAAUACGAGGAGGUAGUGACAAUAAUUAGCGAUGGCCUAUUAAAGGCCAAUUGGAAUGGGUGCGGCGUAAAUAGCCGCUCGAGUAACAAUUGGAGGGCAAGUCUGGUGCCAGCAGCCGCGGUAAUUCCAGCUCCAAUAGCGUAUACUAAAGUUGCUGCAGUUAAAACGCUCGUAGUCUGUAAUAAGGGUCCGGUGGGGAAAUGCAGGGAUGCACUACUCGCCGCGGCUCCUAUGGGCCUUGGUUCGCCGUACCUUGACUGGGAAAGCGGGUUGAGGACCGAAUUACUGUGACAAACGCCUAUUGAUUAAGGAUUGCCCAGCGCGAGUGGAUACAAGCAUGGGAUAAUAAAAUACGGCCUUCCGGAGUGACACCCGGGGGGCAAAUGAAAAAUGGGGUCGGUCGGGGCUGUUUAUAUUGUUGCGGGAGAGGUGAAAUUCUUGGAUCGCAGCAAGAUACCCGGAUGCUAACGCGUUCAGCCAGUACGUACCCGUCGAUCAAGAACGAAAGUUUGGGGAUCGAAGACGAUCAGAUACCGUCGUAGUCCAAACCGUAAACUAUGCCGCCUGGGUAUUAGGGGCGAUUAGAAAUAAAUAGACCGUCCUCAGCACCCAGUGAGAAAUCGCAAGGCUUUGGGUUCUGGGGGGAGUAUGGUCGCAAGGCUGAAACUUAAAGGAAUUGACGGAAGGGCACACCAGGAGUGGAGCCUGCGGCUUAAUUUGACUCAACACGGGGAAACUUACCAGGUCCGGACAUUUGGAGGAUUGACAGGCUGAUGACCUUUCUUGAUUAUAUGGGUGGUGGUGCAUGGCCGUUCUUAGUUGGUGAAGCGAUUUGUCUAGUUAAUUCUGAUAACGAACGAGAUCUCUACGUUCAAAUAGGGGGCGCCGUCCUCAGUAAGUGAAGGGUCAGCUAGGCGUAAAAAACCUCGCUGGACUGGAACUGGAAAGGCGGCGUACUCCUUCUUUGACGGACAUGCCGUAUCCAGCGGUAGGAAGUCAGAGGCAAUAACAGGUCUGUGAUGCCCUUAGAUGUCCUGGGCUGCACGCGCGCUACAAUAAAAUUUUUAUCGAGUUCCUACCCUAUAGGGUCGGGAAACCACGCAAUUAAUAAUUAUGACGGGGAUAGACCUUUGUAAUUAUCGGUCUCGAACGAGGAAUUCCUAGUAGGCGCGUGUCAUCAGCGCGCGCCGAUUACGUCCCUGCCCUUUGUACACACCGCCCGUCGCUCCUACCGAUUGGGCGCCUCGGUAAAGAGUUGGGAGUGGCCAGACGCAAGAACGGCCGCAAUCUUCAAAAAACCUCGGCGUCUUGAGGAAGGAGAGAGGUUCU